CGGAUAAAGUCGUAACAAGGUUUCCGUAGGUGAACCUGCGGAAGGGUCAUUAAUAAAUGGUCUACGUUUUUUUAAGUAGACGCUUAAUAAUCCUACCUUUGUGAAUUUGUUGUUUUGAAAUAAUUUUUUUUAAAAUUAUUGAUUGUCUUUCCUGUUGAAUUGGUUGUCUUAAUGGCAAUGAUUCGCAGGGGAGUGUCAGUAUUUUUAAAAAGACCUUUUUAAAAUAAACUUUUUGUAUCAUUUGUCUAAAAUUAUUUUAUAAUAUAAAAACAACUUUGACAUGGAUUCUUGUUCUCGCAGCGAUGAAGAACGCAGCAAAAUGCGAUAAGUAGUGUGAAUUGCAGAAUACGUGAAUCAUCGAAUCUUCGAACGCAUAUUGCACUUUUUUAGUUUACUAAAAAAGUAUGUCUGUUUGAGUAUCAGUAAAAUAUUCUCAUAAAAACUUUUUGUUUUAUGGUUAUGAGUGUUUACAACGAUACAAGUUGUUUCACUUUAAUUUUUUUAAAAUUUGAAUUUUUCUAAUUUUAAAAUAAAUUGGAUAAAAUUUUCCCGUAAAAAAGAAUAACUAAACAAUUUAAUUUUGAUUAGAAUUCUUCAAUAUAAAGGAAAAUUUAACUAAAUAACUUGAUCUCAAUCAGAUAAGAUACCGCUGACUAAGCAUAUCAUAAGCGGAGGAAGAGAACUACAAGGAUUCCCUUAGUAACGGCGAGUGAAGCGGAAGAGCUCAAAUUUGAAAUCUUCAGGUUUUACCUUGACGAAUUGUAGUUUAAAGAAGUGUUUCUGUUGAAGUUUUGGUAAAGUUCUUUGGAAUAGGACAUCAUAGAGGGUGAGAAUCCCUAUUGACCAUUAUUUCAGCUGUGUGAUACACUUUCAAAGAGUCGGAUUGUUUGGGAAUGCAGUCCAAUAUGGUGGUAAAUUUCAUCUAAGCUAAAUAUUGGCGAGAGACGAUAGCGAACAAGUACCGUGAGGAAAGAUGAAAAGAACUUUGAAAAGAGAGUUAAACAGACGUGAAAUUGUCAAAAGGGAAGCGUUUGACACCAGUGUUUUUCUCGAAAAUCAAUUAAAAAAGGGAUUUUGUGUUGUAUUGACUUAUCAGCUUUCUGCACUCUUUUCUUGUCUUUUUUAAUGCACUUUUCGUUAACAAGUCACAUCAGUUCUUUUGUUGUAAAAGGUCAUUGAAGUGGCUUUCUUUCGGAGAAAGGUUUAUAGCUUUGGCUCUGCAAUCGGAGAGAUUGAGGUCUGCAGCGUAGAUCCUUCGGGUUAGAUACAUUUGUGCUAAGUACAGCUUUCAUAGACAACUUGUUGACUAUGUUUAGUCUUGUACUUACCCGCUUAUGCUAUUUUACCUACGCUUAGGAUGUUGAG
rnacentral:misc_RNA from 1 species